UGGGGGAUAUUGCACAAUGGGCGAAAGCCUGAUGCAGCGACGCCGCGUGGGGGAUGAAGGCCUUCGGGUUGUAAACUUCUUUUGCUCUGAACAAGGCAUGCUAAUGGGUGUGUUGAGUAUAGGGGUUGAUUAGCGCCGGCUAACUACGUGCCAGCAGCCGCGGUAAUACGUAGGGCGCGAGCGUUGUCCGGAAUUAUUGGACGUAAAGGGCUUGUAGGUGGCUGGUUGCGUCUGUCGUGAAAGCUCAUGGCUUAACUGUGGGUUUGCGGUGGGUACGGGCUGGCUUGAGUGCAGUAGGGGAGGCUGGAAUUCCUGGUGUAGCGGUGGAAUGCGCAGAUAUAAGGAGGAAUACCGGUGGCGAAGGCGGGUCUCUGGGCUGUUACUGACACUGAGGAGCGAAAGCAUGGGGAGCGAACAGG
rnacentral:rRNA from 1 species